AUCGAGUUCUUCUACGUUCUUCCUGCUUCCAUCUUCUCUACUGCACUUUCUCUCUCCUGCCAUUGUUCUACGGCUUCUUCCUACCUUCACCUUUUCUCUCCACUAUCUUGCUCCUUAUUCCCGAAAUAUGUCGGCACCCAACUCUAUGUCGCUGUUUUAGGGAGUGAGGAUGAACAAGAAAUCGGGCUGCUCGGCGCUUUAGUUGACUCUAUUGAGCGCGGCUCUCCGUCGGUUUGUCGUCGCUUCACUUCUGGUGAAAUCGGUGACGUUUUGAGUGUUAAUUCCGUAAGAGCUUUAGGGAAAGUGCUCAGAUCUGUUGAGGAAGAAGAGAAGGCAAAGAAAAAAACAAAUUGCUCUAGAAAUCGACCAUGAAAAACCGGUUUCCAAAGAGAAGGUAUGUGGGGGUUCUUCUUCCACCAGAAAGCGCAGAUCUAUAAUUCCAUCAACUCCCACAGUACCGUUAUCAGUGCUAAGAAGAAUUCGUGGUCCUGGCACAAAAAUCGUAGAUCUUAUUGAAGAGGAGGAAAUGAAGGCUGCCUCUGGUACUGCUGACAAUAAUGAACCAAGAUCUGGGGAAAAACGUAAGAGAUCUGGACAGGAAGUCCUUGUUUCUGCUGAUAUUGAGGGAAUUUGACCCAAAACAUCACCCGCCUGAAUGAGUUCUCAGCGUAACAGUUUCUAAACCCCUUAUAAUGUUUAUUUUGAUGCUUGAUGAUUAUGCUUAAUUGUUAUUCUGUUAAUUUUGUUUGAUGAUUAUGCUUAAUGGUGGUUAUGCUAUUAAUUUGAUUAUGCUUGAUGAUUAUGCCAUAUUAUAAUGCUUGAUGAUUAUGCCAAUGCAAAUUAUUAUGCAUGAUGAUUAUGCCAGAUUAUUAUGCAUGAUGAUUAUGCUUGUUGAUUGGGCCAGAUUAUGGUGCUUGAUUAUUUUGGGUGAUGAUUAUGGUUGAUGAUUAAUUUGGGUGAUGAUUAUGGUUGAUGAUUACUUUGGGUGAUGAUUAUGCUUGAUUAUGCCAGAUUAUGGUUGAAUCUGCUUGAUUAAGCCAUAUUAUGGUUGAUUAUGGUUGAAUCUGCUUGAUUAUGCCAGAUUAUGGUUGAUUAUGGCAGAGGAUUAUGCUUUAUUAUGCUUGAUGAUUAUGCUUGUUGAUUGGGCUUGAGGAUUAGGCUUGAGGGUUAUGCUGUCGGUUAUGCUUAAUGGCUAUUCUUGAUGAUUAUGAUGAUUGUUUUGCUUGUUAGAUGUUACUGGUUUUUUUGGGUUUUGGGGAGUCAAGUGGUUGUUGGAUGAUGAUGUCUUUGGUGUAAUGGUCUCAAUGAAAAUCAUUGAGGGGCCUUGUGUUUUGGUUUAUUGGUCUCAAUGACAAUUAUUAAGAGACCUUGGUUUUCUACGCAUAUAGGAGUCCCGAGUUUUGGCUUUGUGAAUGAAUUAGAGUCCCUUUUUUUGUUAUAGUUGAGGUUAACUCCUAAAUCAAGUGAUGAAGGGACUCAUAAGAUCCUAAUAAGGUUAUGUAUGAUGCUCCUAUAAUGUGUUCCUAAUGUUUGUUGAGGUACCUAACAUGAUCAUACAAAGGUUAUGUAGGGAUGCUGCAAUAUUUGGUUAACACAUUAUUGUUGAGGUAGCAUAUAUGAUCUCGUGAGUUUUGAUAGAAAUCAGUGGACUGACAAAACUUAUUCAAUUGCUGAUGUUUAUAAAUGGUUACAAGGAAAUAUACCUGAUGUUAGCUGGACACUCAGGAUUUGGAGUAAAUUCAAUAUCCCAGAUUGAGAAACAAGCUUUUCAAGCUUAGAAUCUGUCAGGAAGAGGGUUUGCAGCAUUGAUAAUGCUUGGAAGAUGUGGAUCAGAGGUUUGAAAGACCCUAUUAAGAAGAAGGUGGUGCUUGCUAUACUUACUACCUUAUUAUAUCAUAUAUGGCUUGUCAGGAAUCACUCUUAUGGGCAAAAAGUUGUUAUUCAUCUUGAUAAGCUUUGCAAAGCGGUUCGUAUGGAAGUUAUGGAAAGAAGUCAGCAACUCAUAAACAAGAAGUGGACUAGAGCUCAAGUUCAAUGGCUCUACAAUCUUAGGAAUUCUGUGUAGUUCUUGUUUUAUUUCCUUGUUUUGGUUUUCUGCUGCUUUGUUAGCUCUUUGGUUUUUUGUUUUGUUUUCGUUGUUGUUUUGGCUGUAUAUAUGUUUGGUGGUUGUUUGGCCCUUGAGGGCGUUGUAGUUUGGUGGUGAGGGCUUGCCCUCUUUCUUUUGGUAAUAAAAUAUUACUUACCAAAAAAAAAUGAAAUAAAACUAUUUCGUUUGUGUACCUUUUAA